AAACCAACAGGGAUUGCCCUAGUAACGGCGAGCGAAGCGGCAACAGCUCAAAUUUGAAAUCUGGCUCUCGGGCCCGAGUUGUAAUUUGUAGAGGAUGACUUUGAUGCGGUGCCUUCCGAGUUCCCUGGAACGGGACGCCAUAGAGGGUGAGAGCCCCGUCUGGUUGGAUGCCAAAUCUCUGUAAGUCUCCUUCGACGAGUCGAGUAGUUUGGGAAUGCUGCUCUAAAUGGGAGGUAUAUGUCUUCUAAAGCUAAAUACCGGCCAGAGACCGAUAGCGCACAAGUAGAGUGAUCGAAAGAUGAAAAGCACUUUGAAAAGAGAGUUAAAAAGUACGUGAAAUUGUUGAAAGGGAAGCGUUUAUGACCAGACUUGGGCUUGGUUAAUCAUCUGGGGUUCUCCCCAGUGCACUUUUCCAGCCCAGGCCAGCAUCAGUUUUCGCCGGGGGAUAAAGACUUCGGGAAUGUGGCUCCCCUCGGGGAGUGUUAUAGCCCGUUGUGUAAUACCCUGGCGGGGACUGAGGUUCGCGCUUCUGCAAGGAUGCUGGCGUAAUGGUCAUCAACGAC
rnacentral:rRNA from 1 species